GAGCGCUGGGCGGGGUCCCCUCUUAAGGAGAUGCGAAAGGGCGCCGGCCUGAGCCCCGCCUGCGUGCACGCCUUCUCCCCUGCGAGAUGUUCACACAUCAGUACCAGCACAACAGAAAUCCCCAGAGGUCCACGUUGCUGAGGAGCCCAGGCACUAGAUCCCCAGGCGAGCCAGGCAGCUGUGACCCAGGGCCAGGAUGGCCUCAGCCUCAGCUGGGUCCACUUUGAGGACAGUAACUUAUCAAAGGUAUCAGCAAAACCGGCAAACUGGGGAGAAACAGCACCAAAGACAGCAACAGACUCUGAUAUUUUGGGAGCUCAAGCAGAGGGGAAGGAAAAUGGCAAAUGCUCUAUGACAUCCUAAGUUCUCAAGCAACUCUCCACCAGCCCCAUUUCUCUCCCUGAAAGAACUGAGGAACACACUGAGUGGAACUCAAGUUACCUCAUGAGCUGCUGAGGUUUGAGGAAACACAAUUUUAUAAUCAAAGUUUGAUGGAAAAGGAAACUGAGUCACAUUACCAUUUGCAGAGUCACAGAGCUGAGAUCACAAGGCAGCUGAGUAACCUGAAUUCCAAUGGGAAACAAGCUCCUUAAAGGAGAGGUGGAGAACAUGAACCUUUUGACCUGUGCGAGAUUAGUGGAAAAACUGGUGGCCACCAUACAAACAGGCUUCCAGAGGAUCCUCACAAAAAGACUGGAGACAGGGCAAGAGAUGUGAGAGAGCCACCUCACUAAUGCAGCAAAAGCCUUAAAUCACUGAGGUGAGGGGCAGCAAACCUCUUACCAAAGACCCAUUGCAUCUAAGGGGAGUAGAAGCAAAAUCCACCUGCUUCUGGAGGAGAGGCAAGAAACCAUGUUGGAUCUUGAAUCUUACCAAUCAGAGUUCUGCUGCCACUGGGGGAGAGGCAAGAAAGUCCUGCACAAGACCAACCUCAGAAACAAGACAGAGUUUUGUUACCAUUGUCAGGAUGUGUAGACAUAUUGAGGAAGCUCCACCUCCAAGACUGUAUAGGGCCUGACAAAGAAUCAGGCUGGAACAGGACAACGCAGAAUUCCCCCUGCAACAGCAUUCUACAGAUGGAUGAGGAGCAGGAGUGUGGGCAGAGACCGAAUGCUGGAGGAGGAGUAGAAACCAUGAGAGAAACCCUCCAGCACUCUGUCUCCCAUCCCAAGCACCAGGGAUUAGUAGCUCAACUGGUAAAAGAAUUUGAAGCCUGUGGUACACAGAAAGCAACAAAAGCAAAAACAAUACCCAAAUAAUCAGCUCAACUCCUGGCUGUAUUGACUCAACCCCACACUAGUGGUCUGACAGAAGAAGAAGUAUUCCCAUAUCUAGGAGUUAAUACUAUUUACCUUAGUCUCUACUGUCCUACAUAUGAUGUGUAGCAGUCGAUAAAAAAUUACCAGACUAGGGUAUGGCUUGGUGGCUUACUGGUUAAGUUCGUGGGCUCCACUUCAGUGGCCUGGGGUUUGCAGGGUCAGAUCCCACUGUUCAUCAAGCCAUGCUGUGACAGGUGUCCCACAUAUAAAAUAGAGGAAGAUUGACACAGAUGUUAG
ensembl:lncRNA